GUCACCAUGCUUUUCUUUCUUCAGUCUCUGGCGCACUCUCAGGACCAUUUAAAAUUCUUUAGUAACAGUUCAUGCAUCUAAUGAAUAUAUGCAAAAUACAUGCAAGCACUUGGUUUGGCCCGUUCUGGGCAGACACUUGUAGGUCCUCACGUAGGCUGAUCACUCUCCGUUAUUUCCUUUACAUUUUUCUAAAAACUGACUUCAGUGCUGGGCCCCUAAGACGGAAACCAGGAACUCCUCUAUUUUUAUAUACCUUCGGUGCUGAGGGUCUCCUUAGGGGGAAGAGGUAGAAGUUGGAGGAUUUUCUGUUUGGUAGAGAUUUGACAUCUAGUAAUGCUAUGGUCAGGGCUGCUGCUGAGAUUGAAGGUUUACAGCCUGAUGAAACAAGCCUGCUGUCCAGGCUGAAUCACCUGGGCUCUGUGCAUCUGAUUCUACUGCGCAGCAUUUCAGUCCUGAUGAGCACCUCCAGGAAAAGACCAGGAAAGAAGAAGGGGAUUGAGGAAUUCACGUCAGUCACAUACUUUUCAUCUCCUUGUAGGAAUGGCUG
rnacentral:lncRNA from 1 species